AUCAUGCGCAUUGGAGCGAGCGUUGCAGUCCUCACUGCUGUAUAAGCUUACUUAGAAUUUAGGGUACCAUUGGAUCCCAAGCAGUCUGUGGGACGCUUUACGCAUGCGCAGAAAGGAAUUCCUCGAAGGAAAAAUCCCACGAAUGUCCAUCACUGCACCGCUCAAGUCUAGAUCGAGAGUCCUAUUUUCCAAUAUGAAAGUCUUGUUGGUCUUGUGCUUCGUAUCAUAAUUAACAGUUUUUUUAAUAGAAACACCAUUUGUUAUUAAUUAUGUAAAAGUGGGAUAUAAGUAAAUAUUAUGACUAUAUGGUUUGAAGAAAAUAUAAGUGUGAAGGAAGAUAAAACUUUCUUUGAACCAAAUUGAAGUGUUUUAAAAUUAAUAAGAGAUAUUUUAAGUUAAUACAAACGUGAAAUAGACAAAAUUGUUGGUACGAAGGCAAAGAGGUUAAGUGAACGCGUGGAAGAGAUGAAGGGAAGCUACCCAAGGAAAAAAUUGUGCAGUUAAUUACAAGAGUGUGUUACAGAUUUUACGAAUUGAGACUUCAAGUUAGCAUCAUUAAUUAUGGCUUCCAUUAUGGCAUACAUAUGACUGAAUGCGGUCAUUACUUCUUCUGUAGGAAUAGAAAGGCUUCCUCUUUCAAUAGAAUGGGACCCAUAACCAGAUAUGUAAAUUUUAAUGGAAUUAUCAACAACACAAGUGGAUAAAUAUUCAGUUUUGAAGUUUCCCAGAAAACAAGUUACAUCAAUGGAAAGAUCAUGAAGAUUAUUAUCGUUAUCACAAAUUUCAAAUAUAUUUUUGAUUUAAGUAAAAGAAAAGAAUCUUGCCGAUUUCUUAAAUAUAUGUUUUAAUCUAAUAUUUUUCUCUGCAUGAACUACUUCAUUGUAUGAAACGUGAUAAUUACAACCAAAUAAAAGUCUAUA